GACGAACGCUGGCGGCGUACCUAAUACAUGCAAGUCGAGCGGACUUUCAAGAAGCUUGCUUUUUGAAAGUUAGCGGCGGACGGGUGAGUAACACGUGGGCAACCUGCCUGUAAGACGGGGAUAACUCCGGGAAACCGGGGCUAAUACCGGAUAAUAUCUUUCUUCGCAUGAAGGAAGGUUGAAAGGCGGCGCAAGCUGCCGCUUGCAGAGGGGCCGGCGGCGCAUUAGCUAGUUGGUGAGGUAACGGCUCACCAAGGCGACGAUGCGUAGCCGACCUGAGAGGGUGAUCGGCCACACUGGGACUGAGACACGGCCCAGACUCCUACGGGAGGCAGCAGUAGGGAAUCUUCCGCAAUGGACGAAAGUCUGACGGAGCAACGCCGCGUGAGCGAAGAAGGUCUUCGGAUCGUAAAGCUCUGUUGUCAGGGAAGAACAAGUACCGUUCGAAUAGGGCGGUACCUUGACGGUACCUGACCAGAAAGCCACGGCUAACUACGUGCCAGCCGCCGCCGUAA
rnacentral:rRNA from 1 species